rnacentral:misc_RNA from 1 species
GGCUAGGGUUUAAGGUACAGGGAAACAGGGUAAAAUCGGAGAUGGCGAUGACACAGUGGUGCAGCACAGUAGCGAGGAGACUGAUGACUGUUAUGGAGCAACGAAUGGCAUAUUCAUCUUCAGCUGCUCCGUCGGCGGCGAUGGGAGGUCCGAUCCUUUGCGGACGAGGGGACAAGAGGACGAAGAAAGGGAAGAGAUUCAAAGAUUCGUAUGGAAAUUCAAGACCUAAAAAGGAGAAGAAAAUUGAACGCAUCAAGGAUAAAGUUGAGGUCCCCAGGUCUACACCUUGGCCUCUUCCUUUCAAACUCAUUUGAUUUCAUUUUCUGUACCCUUCAAAAAAAAUCUAGUCUUGUUUCUCUUUGCCAUUAGAAGAUAGAUUAUGUUUUUCUUAUGAUGAAUCUGAAUGUAUUGACGUCUGGGCAAAAUU